rnacentral:tRNA from 1 species
UGUCCAGGGAUGGGAAUCGAACCACAAUGUUCCGCUUACUGGGCAGAUGCCAUGUCCACUAGGCUACCUGGAC